rnacentral:rRNA from 1 species
GACGAACGCUGGCGGCGUGCUUAACACAUGCAAGACGAACGGAAAGGCCCUGCUUUUGUGGGGUGCUCGAGUGGCGAACGGGUGAGUAACACGUGAGUAACCUGCCCUUGACUUUGGGAUAACUUCAGGAAACUGGGGCUAAUACCGGAUAGGAGCUCCUGCUGCAUGGUGGGGGUUGGAAAGUUUCGGCGGUUGGGGAUGGACUCGCGGCUUAUCAGCUUGUUGGUGGGGUAGUGGCUUACCAAGGCUUUAACGGGUAGCCGGCCUGAGAGGGUGACCGGCCACAUUGGGACUGAGAUACGGCCCAGACUCCUACGGGAGGCAGCAGUGGGGAAUAUUGCACAAUGGGCGGAAGCCUGAUGCAGCAACGCCGCGUGCGGGAUGACGGCCUUCGGGUUGUAAACCGCUUUCGCCUGUGACGAAGCGUGAGUGACGGUAAUGGGUAAAGAAGCACCGGCUAACUACGUG